rnacentral:rRNA from 1 species
CCUACGGGCGGCAGCAGUGAGGAAUAUUGGUCAAUGGGCGGGAGCCUGAACCAGCCAAGUCGCGUGAGGGAAGACGGUCCUAUGGAUUGUAAACCUCUUUAGGCGGGGAGCAAUGCCGGGCACGCGUGCCCGGAGGGAGAGUACCCGCAGAAUAAGCAUCGGCUAACUCCGUGCCAGCAGCCGCGGUAAUACGGAGGAUGCGAGCGUUAUCCGGAUUUAUUGGGUUUAAGGGGUGCGUAGGCGGAUUUUUAAGUCAGCGGUAAAAUGUCCGGGCUCAACCCGGGCCGGCCGUUGAAACUGGGGAGCUUGAGUGGGCGAGGAGUAUGCGGAAUGCGUGGUGUAGCGGUGAAAUGCAUAGAUAUCACGCAGAACUCCGAUUGCGAAGGCAGCAUACCGGCGCCCGACUGACGCUGAGGCACGAAAGCGUGGGGAUCGAACAGGAUUAGAUACCCGGGUAGUC